GCCGGCUGCAGUGGUGUUUGCCUGUGGUCCCAGCUACUCAGGAGGCAGGUGAGAGGACCGCUUGAGCCCAAAAGUUCUGGGCUGUAGUACACUAUGUUGACCUGGUGUUUGCACCAAGUUCAGCAACAAUAUGGUGACCUCCUGGGAGUGUACCACCAGGUUGCCUAAGGAGGGAUGAACCAGCCCUGGUCAGAAACAGAGCAGGUAAAAACACCCAUGUUGAACAAUAGUGGGACUGCACCUGUGAAAAGUCACUGCAUUCCAGCCUGGGCAACAUAGUGAGACCCUGUCUCU
ensembl:misc_RNA Metazoa_SRP Metazoan signal recognition particle RNA